rnacentral:tRNA from 1 species
UCCUCUGUAGUUCAGUCGGUAGAACGGCGGACUGUUAAUCCGUAGGUCACUGGUUCGAGUCCAGUCAGAGGAGCCA